AUUGAACGCUGGCGGCAGGCCUAACACAUGCAAGUCGAACGAGUGGCGGACGGGUGAGUAAUGUCUGGGAAACUGCCCGAUGGAGGGGGAUAACUACUGGAAACGGUAGCUAAUACCGCAUACCAUCGGAUGUGCCCAGAUGGGAUUAGCUUGUAGGUGAGGUAACGGCUCACCUAGGCGACGAUCCCUAGCUGGUCUGAGAGGAUGACCAGGCAAAAUGGAACGGAGACCAGGUCCAAACCCCUACCGGAGGCAGGAGGGGGGAAUAAUGGAAAAUUGGCGCAAGCCUGAUGCAGCCAUGCCGCGUGUAUGAAGAAGGCCUUCGGGUUGUAAAGUACUUUCAGCGGGGAGGCGUUACCCACAGAAGAAGCACCGGCUAACUCCGUGCCAGCAGCCGCGGUAAUAC
rnacentral:rRNA from 1 species